rnacentral:rRNA from 1 species
CGGAGGGGCUAGCGUUGUUCGGAAUUACUGGGCGUAAAGCGCACGUAGGCGGACCAGAAAGUUGGGGUGAAAUCCCGGGGCUCAACCUCGGAACUGCCCUCAAAACUAUUGGUCUGGAGUUCGAGAGAGGUGAGUGGAAUUCCGAGUGUAGAGGUGAAAUUCGUAGAUAUUCGGAGGAACACCAGUGGCGAAGGCGGCUCACUGGCUCGAUACUGACGCUGAGGUGCGAAAGCGUGGGGAGCAAACAGGAUU